UCAAAGAUUAAGCCAUGCAAGUGAAAGUAUAUGCAUAUUUUAUAUGUAGAAACUGCGAACGGCUCAUUAAAACAGUUAUAAUCUACUUGACAUUUUUUCUAUAAGGAUAACUACGGAAAAGCUGUAGCUAAUACUUGCUUUAGCACUCUUGAUUAAGUUCUUGAGUGUGUACUUGUUAAGCCUUUUAAGAAAAAAGUUAUUAACUUAAGGAAUUAUAACAAAGAAGCAACACGUAAAUGGAUUUUCCAUUUUUUAGUGUGUAUCAAUCGAGUUUCUGACCUAUCAGCUUUUGAUGUUAGGGUAUUGGCCUAACAUGGCUAUGACGGGUAACGGGGAAUUAGAGUUCGAUUCCGGAGAGGGAGCCUGAGAAAUAGCUACCACAUCUAAGGAAGGCAGCAGGCGCGUAACUUACCCAAUUCUAAAGAAGAGAGGUAGUGACAAGAAGUAACAAUACAAGGCCAAUCUGGCUUUGUAAUUGGAAUGAUGGGAAUUUAAAACCUUCCCAAAACUCAAUUGGAGGGCAAGUCUGGUGCCAGCAGCCGCGGUAAUUCCAGCUCCAAUAGCGUAUAUUAAGAUUGUUGCAGUUAAAACGCUCGUAGUUGAAUUUCAAAGAAUCGAUAUUUUAAGUAGCACUUUGUAGAUUAAUCCACAUAACUGAUACUACGUAUUGACUUUGUGAGCAUUUUUCUACUUAUGUGUUCUUUUAAUUAAAAUGAUUCUUUUUAAGAUCUUUCUUUUUUGCUUCGGCAUUUUAGGAGAUCUUGUUACUUUGAGUAAAUUAGAGUGUUCAAAGCAAACAGAUUAUAGCAUCUUUAUGCGUUUGAAUACUAUAGCAUGGAAUAACAAAAUUGAACAAGUCAGAAUUUUGUUCUUUUUUCUUAUUUUGGCUUAGUUACGAUUAAUAGGAGUAGCUUGGGGGCAUUUGUAUUCAGAUGUCAGAGGUGAAAUUCUUAGAUUUUCUGGAGACAAACAACUGCGAAAGCAUUUGCCUAAAAUACUUCCAUUAAUCAAGAACGAAAGUUAAGGGAGUGAAGACGAUCAGAUACCGUCGUAAUCUUAACCAUAAACUAUGCCGACUAGGCUUUGGAUGAAAGAUUUUAAAAUAAGAGUUUUUUCUCUGAGGAGUUAAAACUCUUAGAUUGCUUCCUUCAGUGCCUUAUGAGAAAUCAAAGUCUUUGGGUUCUGGGGCGAGUAUUCGCGCAAGCGAGAAAGUUAAAAGAAUUGACGGAAGGGCACCACCAGGCGUGGAGCUUGCGGCUUAAUUUGACUCAACACGGGAAAACUCACUAGUUUAAGACAAGAGUAGGAUUGACAGAUUAAUAGCUCUUUCUUGAUUUCUUGGAUGGUGAUGCAUGGCCGUUUUUAGUUCGUGAAUAUGAUUUGUCUGGUUAAUUCCGAUAACGAACGAGAUCUUAACCUGCUAAUUAGCGGCAAAUACGAUAUAUUCUUAUGUGGAAUUGAAUAUAGUUGAUUUGUUUAUUUUGAAGAAAAUAUUGGGAUACGUAAAUGUAUCCCUUUCCCUUUUCUACUUAAUUUGCUUAUCAUACUAUUUCUUUUUUGCGUAAGAAUGUAUUUGCUUGAUUGUAAAGCUUCUUAGAGGAACGAUGUGUGUCUAACACAAGGGAGUUUAAGGCAACAACAGG
rnacentral:rRNA from 1 species